UACGGAGGGGGCAAGCGUUAUCCGGAGUUACUGGGCUUAAAGGGUGCGUAGGCGGUCUUUUAAGUCAGUGGUGAAAACUCCGAGCUUAACUCGGAAACUGCCAUUGAUACUAUUAGUCUUGAAUUUAGUUGAGGUUGGCGGAAUGUGUCGUGUAGCGGUGAAAUGCUUAGAUAUGACACAGAACACCGAUUGCGAAGGCAGCUGGCUAAACUAAAAUUGACGCUGAGGCACGAAAGUGUGGGGAUCAAACAGG
rnacentral:rRNA from 1 species